UACGAAGGGGGCUAGCGUUGCUCGGAAUCACUGGGCGUAAAGGGUGCGUAGGCGGGUCUUUAAGUCAGGGGUGAAAUCCUGGAGCUCAACUCCAGACUGCCUUUGAUACUGAGGAUCUUGAGUUCGGGAGAGGUGAGUGGAACUGCGAGUGUAGAGGUGAAAUUCGUAGAUAUUCGCAAGAACACCAGUGGCGAAGGCGGCUGACUGGUCCGGUUCUGACGCUGAGGCGCGAAAGCGUGGGGAGCAAACAGG
rnacentral:rRNA from 1 species